rnacentral:rRNA from 1 species
GACGAACGCUGGCGGCGUGCUUAACACAUGCAAGUCGAACGGAAAGGCCCUGCUUGCAGGGUACUCGAGUGGCGAACGGGUGAGUAACACGUGGGUGAUCUGCCCUGCACUUCGGGAUAAGCCUGGGAAACUGGGUCUAAUACCGGAUAGGAGCCAUUUUGAGUGUGAUGGUUGGAAAGUUUUUUCGGUUUAGGCUGAGCUCGCGGCCUAUCAGCUUGUUGGUGGGGUAAUGGCCUACCAAGGCGGCGACGGGUAGCCGGCCUGAGAGGGUGGACGGCCACAUUGGGACUGAGAUACGGCCCAGACUCCUACGGGGGGCAGCAGUGGGGAAUAUUGCACAAUGGGCGCAAGCCUGAUGCAGCGACGCCGCGUGGGGGAUGACGGCCUUCGGGUUGUAAACUCCUUUCGCUAGGGACGAAGCUUUUUGUGACGGUACCUAGAUAAGAAGCACCGGCUAACUACGUG